rnacentral:rRNA from 1 species
GACGUAGGGUGCGAGCGUUGUCCGGAUUUAUUGGGCGUAAAGAGCUCGUAGGCGGCUCGUCGCGUCGACCGUGAAAACCCGCGGCUUAACUGCGGGCUUGCGGUUGAUACGGGCGGGCUAGAGUUCGGUAGGGGAGACUGGAAUUCCUGGUGUAGCAGUGAAAUGCGUAGAGAUCGUAAGGAAGACCAGUGGCGAAGGCGAGUUUCUGGACGGUAACUGACGCUGAGGCACGAAGGCCAGGGGAGCAAACGGG